rnacentral:tRNA from 1 species
GGUUCCUUAGCCAAGUCUGGUAAGGCAAUUGACUGCAACUCAAUGAUCAUCGGUUCGAAUCCGGUAGGAACCUCCA